rnacentral:rRNA from 1 species
AUUGAACGCUGGCGGCAGGCCUAACACAUGCAAGUCGAACGAGUGGCGGACGGGUGAGUAAUGUCUGGGAAACUGCCUGAUGGAGGGGGAUAACUACUGGAAACGGUAGCUAAUACCGCAUACCAUCAGAUGGGCCCAGAUGGGAUUAGAUAGUAGGUGAGGUAACGGCUCACCUAGGCGACGAUCCCUAGCUGGUCUGAGAGGAUGACCAGCCACACUGGAACUAGGACACGGUCCAGACUCCUACGGAGGGCAGCAGUGGGGAAUAUUGGACGAUGGGCGCAAGCCUGAUGCAGCCAUGCCGCGUGUAUGAAGAAGGCCUUCGGGUUGUAAAGUACUUUCAGCUGGGAGGCGUUACCCGCAGAAGAAGCACUGGCUAACUCCGUGCCAGCAGCCGCGGUAAUAC